UACGGAGGGUGCGAGCGUUGUCCGGAAUCAUUGGGCGUAAAGGGCGCGUAGGUGGCGCGGUAAGCGUGCGGUGAAAGCUCGGGGCUCAACCCCGAGUCGGCCGUGCGAACUGCUGGGCUUGAGCACUGUAGAGGCAGGCGGAAUUCCGGGUGUAGCGGUGGAAUGCGUAGAGAUCCGGAAGAACACCGGUGGCGAAGGCGGCCUGCUGGGCAGUAGCUGACACUGAGGCGCGACACGUGGGGAGCAAACAGG
rnacentral:rRNA from 1 species